rnacentral:rRNA from 1 species
UACGGGGGGGGCAAGCGUUGUUCGGAAUUACUGGGCGUAAAGGGCUCGUAGGCGGCCAACUAAGUCGAACGUGAAAUCCCUCAGCUUAACUGGGGAACUGCGUCCGAUACUGAUUGGCUUGAAUCCGGAAGAGGGAUGCGGAAUUCCAGGUGUAGCGGUGAAAUGCGCAGAUAUCAGGAGGAACACCAACAGCGAAGGCAGCUCGCUGGGACGGUACUGACGCUGAGGCGCGAAAGCGUGGGGAGCGAACAGG